rnacentral:rRNA from 2 species
GCGCACGGGUGAGUUAACACGUAUCCAACCUUGCCGUCUACUCUUCGGCCAGCCUUCUGAAAGGAAGAUUAAUCCAGGAUGGCAUCAUGAGUUCACAUGUCCGCAUGAUUAAAGGUAUUUUCCGGUAGACGAUGGGGAUGCGUUCCAUUAGAUAGUAGGCGGGGUAACGGCCCACCUAGUCAACGAUGGAUAGGGGUUCUGAGAGGAAGGUCCCCCACAUUGGAACUGAGACACGGUCCAAACUCAUACGGGAGGCAGCAGUGAGGAAUAUUGGUCAAUGGGCGAUGGCCUGAACCAGCCAAGUAGCGUGAAGGAUGACUGCCCUAUGGGUUGUAAACUUCUUUUAUAAAGGAAUAAAGUCGGGUAUGCAUACCCGUUUGCAUGUACUUUAUGAAUAAGGAUCGGCUAACUCCGUGCCAGCAGCCGCGGUAAUACGGAGGAUCCGAGCGUUAUCCGGAUUUAUUGGGUUUAAAGGGAGCGUAGAUGGAUGUUUAAGUCAGUUGUGAAAGUUUGCGGCUCAACCGUAAAAUUGCAGUUGAUACUGGAUGUCUUGAGUGCAGUUGAGGCAGGCGGAAUUCGUGGUGUAGCGGUGAAAUGCUU